rnacentral:rRNA from 1 species
GUAGGGAAUAUUGGGCAAUGGAUGCAAGUCUGACCCAGCCAUCCCGCGUGCCGGAAGAAGGCCCUCAGGGUUGUAAACGGCUUUUGACGGUGAAGAAUCGACAGGAUGCGUCCUGUUUUGACGGUAGCCGUUGAAUAAGCACCGGCUAACUCCGUGCCAGCAGCCGCGGUAAUACGGAGGGUGCGAGCGUUGUCCGGAUUUAUUGGGUUUAAAGGGUGCGUAGGCUGGAAGGUCAGUCAGCGGUGAAAAGCUAUCGCUUAACGAUAGUCUUGCCGCAGAUACUUCCUUUCUUGGAUGAGGAGGAGGCCACUGGAACGGAUGGUGUAGCGGGGAAAUGCAUAGAUAUCAUCCAGAACACCGAUUGCGAAGGCAGGUGGCUGUACCUUAAUCGACGCUGAUGCACGAAAGCAUGGGGAGCAAACAGGAUUAGAAACCCCGGUAGUCC